rnacentral:rRNA from 1 species
GAUGAACGCUGGCGGCGUGCCUAAUACAUGCAAGUCGAGCGAAUGGAUUAGGAGCUUGCUCUUAUGAAGUUAGCGGCGGACGGGUGAGUAACACGUGGGUAACCUGCCCAUAAGACUGGGAUAACUCCGGGAAACCGGGGCUAAUACCGGAUAACAUUUUGAACCGCAUGGUUCGAAAUUGAAAGGCGGCUUCGGCUGUCAAUUAGGGAUGGACCCGCGUCGCAUUAGCUAGUUGGUGAGGUAACGGCUCACCAAGGCAACGAUGCGUAGCCGACCUGAGAGGGUGAUCGGCCACACUGGGACUGAGACACGGCCCAGACUCCUACGGGAGGCAGCAGUAGGGAAUCUUCCGCAAUGGACGAAAGUCUGACGGAGCAACGCCGCGUGAGUGAUGAAGGCUUUCGGGUCGUAAAACUCUGUUGUUAGGGAAGAACAAGUGCUAGUUGAAUAAGCUGGCACCUUGACGGUACCUAACCAGAAAGCCACGGCUAACUACGUGCCAGCAGCCGCAGUAA